GCGAGUGUGCUGGAAUAGGCAGACAGGCACGUUUGAGGGGCGUGUGUCGUAAGACGUAUGGGUUCAAGUCCCAUUACUCGCACCA
rnacentral:tRNA from 2 species